rnacentral:rRNA from 1 species
CCUACGGGCGGCUGCAGUGGGGAAUAUUGGGCAAUGGGCGCAAGCCUGACCCAGCAACGCCGCGUGAAGGAAGAAGGCUUUCGGGUUGUAAACUUCUUUUCUCAGGGACGAAGCAAGUGACGGUACCUGAGGAAUAAGCCACGGCUAACUACGUGCCAGCAGCCGCGGUAAUACGUAGGUGGCAAGCGUUAUCCGGAUUUACUGGGUGUAAAGGGCGUGUAGGCGGGAAAGCAAGUCAGAUGUGAAAACCAUGGGCUCAACCUGUGGCCUGCAUUUGAAACUGUUUUUCUUGAGUGCUGGAGAGGCAAUCGGAAUGCCGGGUGUAGCGGUGAAAUGCGUAGAUAUACGGAGGAACACCAGUGGCGAAGGCGGAUUGCUGGACAGUAACUGACGCUGAGGCGCGAAAGCGUGGGGAGCAAACAGGAUUAGAUACCCGAGUAGUC